rnacentral:tRNA from 1 species
ACUUUAAUAAUUUAAUUAUAAAAUAAUGGUCUUGUAAACCAUAAAAAAGCUCUACGCUUUUAAAGUA